rnacentral:rRNA from 1 species
UGGGGAAUAUUGCACAAUGGGCGCAAGCCUGAUGCAGCCAUGCCGCGUGUGUGAAGAAGGCCUUCGGGUUGUAAAGCACUUUCAGCGAGGAGGAAGGUGGUGAACUUAAUACGUUCAUCAAUUGACGUUACUCGCAGAAGAAGCACCGGCUAACUCCGUGCCAGCAGCCGCGGUAAUACGGAGGGUGCAAGCGUUAAUCGGAAUUACUGGGCGUAAAGCGCACGCAGGCGGUUUGUUAAGUCAGAUGUGAAAUCCCCGGGCUCAACCUGGGAACUGCAUUUGAAACUGGCAAGCUAGAGUCUCGUAGAGGGGGGUAGAAUUCCAGGUGUAGCGGUGAAAUGCGUAGAGAUCUGGAGGAAUACCGGUGGCGAAGGCGGCCCCCUGGACGAAGACUGACGCUCAGGUGCGAAAGCGUGGGGAGCAAAACAGGAUUAGAUACCCUGGUAGUCCACGCUGUAAACGAUGUCGAUUUUGGAGGUUGUGCCCUUGAGGCGUGGCUUCCGGAGCUAACGCGUUAAAUCGACCGCCUGGGGAGUACGGCCACAA